rnacentral:lncRNA from 1 species
CUUAGGCAGAGGAGCAGAGGCAUGAGGAGGUGGAAGCUGGACGCUAGGUGGCUGCUGCAGGGGAACCUGGAAGUGGCCAGGGCGAGCUGAGACCAGGCGCCAGCAGCAUCUGCUACAGUGUGAAGAGGUACCAGCCAGAAAGAGCCAAGGAUAUCAGGAGGCCUUUCCAGGAAGAGGAAACAGGGGUGGAAACCAUUUCAUUGCUGCUGGGCUCCUGGGGCCUAGAUCAUUGUCUGGUAAGCUCUCAAUAAAUAGGCUUGGAAUAAAUGAACAGACAAUUGAAAAUGGACACAGUAAAAAGAACAAGAAGCUUGGCAUUCAAAUGACAUCAGGUUCAAAUCCUGGGUCUGUCAUAACUCUUUGGCCUUGGGGCAAAUUAUUUAACCAUUCUGAGCCCCAUUUCCUCAUCUGGUAAACAGAGAUAAAAAUAACCGCUACUUUGAAGACUUACUCUCAGGACCAAAUAGGAUCAUAGCUGUGACAAGUGUUUUGUGACCACAGACAGCUCCAGCUCUGUGCCGUUACUAGGAUCCUGGGCUGAUGAGAAACCAUCUCCAGCUAAGAGAUUGUGAUUGACCACUGAGUAGCUGCCCAAGUUGAGACGCUCUGCUCAGCCCCCAGCCUGACAGGACAAUUGGCCCACACUGCCCCGGAGGCUGCUGGGCAGGAGCUGGUAAUUGACAGAGAACUCAUUAUCGAAGGACAGAGCCUCUGAGCAUGCUGGGAAUUGGAACUGACAGAGCCCAAGGGCCUGGGAAUCGGAUCACUGGGAAGAGACAGCCCAAGUGUUGUGUGUCCUGGACGUACAGAGGAAAAUAAAGUUUCAGAAAUUGCUCGGCACUAAAAGAGAGCUCUGGUAUUGAAAGCCAUCUCUGAUCCGCUCUCCAUGUGGCUUUGGGCAUGCAAUUGACCUCUGUGAGCUUCAGUUUUGUCACCUCCAAAAUAGAGAUGACAAUAAAUCUUUUUCGUGGAGUAAGAAAUAAGGAUGCUGUAACUAUGACAUUGAUGAUCAUCAUUAUAACAACUAGCAGCUAUUUCACAUCCUCCAGAUGCCAGAGACCAUUUGAAGAGUGCUAAAAAUGGGCCAGGCACAGAGGCUCACACCCGUAAUCCCAGCGUUUUGGGAGGCCCAGGCAGGAGGGUCGCUUGAGCCCAGGAGUUUGAGAAUAGCCUGGGCAACAUAGUGAUAACCCUCCAUCACUACAAAAAAUCAGAAGGGUGUGGUGGUGCACACCUGUAGUCCCAGCUACAAGGGAGGCUGAAGUGGGAAGAUCGCUUGAGCCCAGGAGUUCAAGGUUGCAUGAAGGAGUUCAAGGUUGCCAUGAUCACACCACUGCACUCCCGCCUGGGCUACAAAGCAAGAUCCUCUCUCAUAUAAAAUAAAAUAAAAAUAAUAUUAAAAUGCAUUAACUGUGUGAUCC